CUUAUACUCUCUCCGUUCGGAAUUACUUGUCGUAGAAAUGGAUGUAUCUAGGUGUAUUUUAGUUCUAGAUACAUCCAUUUCCGAGACAAGUAAUUCCGAACGGAGGGAGUAUUUA
rnacentral:pre_miRNA from 1 species